UAUGUGCAUCUUUUCGCUAGUAGUAUAGUAAUAAUAAUAAUAAUUUGAAAAGUGUACAACUUGUUUGCUGCCAUAACAUAGUAGUAACAUACAACAUUAAUUAAAGUUUCCCUUGGUCACUUCACUUGCAUAUGCCUGAUCAAGUAGCUCAGGAAAGGAAAAAAAAGAGCAGCAUCAACUGAAAGAAGUGCAGAUUGUGGUAAAAGCAACACUGAGGGUAUCCAUAAAACUCUCCUGUUUGUCCCCUAUCUAUCUAUAUUAGAAAGAAAAGAAAAAAACCACGGGCUUUUGGUAGCCCAAAUGGGUCAAAAAAAAUAGGGGAAGGAAGGAAGGAGAGACUAAUUAAGGUGGCAGCCUGCAGUGAAGCUCAUACAACCUAACUGAACAAACAAUCAACCAGAUAGAAAUGGAGAAUAUAUAUAUAUAUAUAUAUAUA
rnacentral:lncRNA from 1 species